rnacentral:rRNA from 1 species
CCAGACUCCUACGGGAGGCAGCAGUGGGGGAUAUUGCACAAUGGGCGCAAGCCUGACCCAGCAACGCCGCGUGAAGGAAGAAGGCUUUCGGGUUGUAAACUUCUUUUCUGAGGGACGAAGAAAGUGACGGUACCUCAGGAAUAAGCCACGGCUAACUACGUGCCAGCAGCCGCGGUAAUACGUAGGUGGCAAGCGUUGUCCGGAUUUACUGGGUGUAAAGGGCGUGCAGCCGGAGAGACAAGUCAGAUGUGAAAUCCGCAGGCUCAACCUGCGAACUGCAUUUGAAACUGUUGGUCUUGAGUAUCGGAGAGGCAGGCGGAAUUCCUAGUGUAGCGGUGAAAUGCGUAGAUAUUAGGAGGAACACCAGUGGCGAAGGCGGCCUGCUGGACGACAACUGACGGUGAGGCGCGAAAGCGUGGGGAGCAAACAGGAUUAGAUACCCCAGUAA